rnacentral:rRNA from 1 species
AUAAAAUGAACUCAAAUACAUCAGUAGAAUAACCAGGAAGAGUUCUCUUUUCUUUUUAACGACUUUCCCGCAAGGGAUGCAUAAUGACCAUGGAAUCAAUUUAGUUGGAGAAAUGGUUAAAGAGUCGGUAGAGUAAAUCAAUUUCUGAUUUAUCUGGUUAGGUUCUAAUGGUACAUAAAAAUUUGAGGGAAUGAUCUUACUUGAAUAGUCGUACUCAUAACCGCAGCAGGUCUCCAAGGUUAGAAGCCUCUAGUUGGCAGAAUAAUGUAGGUAAGGGAAGUCGGCAAAAUAGAUCUGUAACUUCGGGAAAAAGAUUGGCUCUAAAAGGCUGAGUAUAUGGGCUAUAUUUUGAAGUUAUUGGAGAUUAGAUUGUUACGGUUGGCUGUCAUGGUUGAUUGUGAUGGUUUAGUUAAAGAUGAUGGAGGGG